AGAAAAAUAAGCUAACAUUAAGCUAAUGGGUUCAUACCCCAUCAAUGGAUAUAAUUCCUUUUUCUA
rnacentral:tRNA from 1 species